CCCAAGCUGGUGUAAUGGCAACAUAGCGAAUGACACUUAAGGUUGAGUAAACCUUAAGCCCUAUUGGGGACCGCAGCUCCAGGUUCGAAUCCUGGGUUUGGGA